CAAGCUACAUGUCAUAGGAUUGGAUUG
rnacentral:piRNA from 1 species